ACUUAGCGUGGGUUAAUCUGUUUGAAGGGGCAGGAAAGAAAUGGGAACAGGAAAGAUGUGCUUAAUGGGGGAGAGGAGGUAAGAAAAGAAGCAGAAGAUGGAGAGCUACCUGGGAGGAGAGGUCUGGGAGAAGCCACAGGGGAGCCUCACAGACACCAUGGCAAAUAAUGAGGAAGGGGAAUCCAGGGGCUCUACCGAGUUGCUGGAAUAGUUGGUGUGUGUCAGAUAUUAUCGUAAGACUUGGGGAAGGUAAUCCUGGGCUUUUCAAGAUGAGUGGAGAGAAAAUGGCUCUAUCUAAUUGGCCCUUACACAGAGACCAGCCCGCUUCAUAGUUCAAGAUAUAAACCUGCCACACAUAUGAAUGUAAACAGCUGUAGAUACAGAGUAUUUUACAAUUGCACGCUUUCAAGUUAUUAAAAUUUCUGGAUUUGUUUAAUUUACUCAAAUUUACCUCAUUCCAAUUAAUAGUGAAUUUUAAAAAAUCAUAUCAAAUCCAGCCCCACUUGUUCAUAGUAUAAGGAUUUCAAAAAGUCUGAAAAUUUCUCCUUUAAUCUGUUUUGUUUGUUUUGUUUUUGAAGGGAGGAUCUGGACAUUUUAUUACUGAUAGAUUAAAAACACAAUACAAUUUUUGGUGUAUUUAGACUGUUCACAUUUAAGUAAUUAUUCAUAUAGUUGGAUUAAUAUUUACCAUACUUGGAACUGUUUUCUAUUCAUAGCCCUUGUUCUUUACUUCAUUUUCUCCUCUUCUUCUCCCCUCUCUAGUUUUAAAUGAGUAUUUAAUAUUGUUCUUUUUUCUCUCCUGUCUUUGCAUAUAAAUUACACUUCGUUUAACUUUUUUAGUGGUUGCCCUAGAGUUUGCAAUAUACAUUUACAAUUCUUUCAAGUCCACUUUCAAAUUCUUUGAUGCUAUACUGCUUCACAGGUAGUUCAAGUAUCCUGUAACAGAGUAUUCCCAGUUCUUCCCUUUAAUCCCUUAUAACAUUUCUGUCAUUCAUUUUACUUACACAUAAAUUAUAAUGACUGAAUAGAUUGUUAUUAUUGAUAUAUUUUUAAAUGAAAUGACUGUAUAGAAAGUUAAAAUACCAAUGAUUUGAUCUAGAGUUUUAGACUCUUUAAAUGUUUUUCUUUCCUUCUUAUCUUCCUUGUUUUCUCUCUCCCUCCUAUGCUCUUCAUCUUCUCUUUUUUUCAUCACCCGCUAAUACCAUAUUUGUUUCUGAUUAUUUCUUUUAAGAAAAAUGUUUAAGGGCUUUCUCUAACAGAACUCUCCAUGAUUUCAUUCUUAUCUGUCCCUCUUUGAAGAGAAGCAAACAAGAUUUUGCUGUUUUUUAUAUGCAUG
ensembl:lincRNA